GCUGACCACAGUGUGAAAACCCAACUUAGCUUGAAGAAAUCCCCUCUUGCUCCUCUAAGUGUCUAGUUCACCUGUUAAGUUAUUUGACAACGUGUUCAGGAAGAGGAAGCCUUUUCAGCUGCAAUGGCAGAGACCGCCCAGUGAUAAUCACUGUGGGUGCCAUAUUAAGACUUCAAGUGAAACCCCCGCUGCCCAGACCCCCAAGGCUUCCAGUUGCAGUCACAGUGCAACGAGCCGUCUGGCACGAAUCAUCUUUGAUCAGUAUCAUCUUUCU